rnacentral:lncRNA from 1 species
UCGUGUUUGAAGAGAGUCACCGUCCUGCCAUGGGAAACACUUGCAUCGUCUUCCAACCUUGACAGGAUUACGCGCGCUCCUGGACCGCAUCCAAAUAGAACUCUCCCUUAUGCCCAGGGCUCGAUGUGGCGACCGGCUGUGGGGGUCACGGACCCCUGCUUUUCUGGGGUGUGGCUGUAGUUGUAGUAUAAACGGUCGUGCUUAUUUUCUAUACACUGACCUCACGCUCUUCACGUUCCUGCUGACCUCACAAUGGUCUGUGAAGGUUCUACCCUGUUUACCACGCCCUUUCCCAGUGAUACGAAUAUUUCCAGGCUCCUACAUGAAGUAAUUACACUGCUAUGAACACAUUUUUGCACAGAAUAUAGGUAAAGCAUGAACGGGCAUUUUAACAGAAGAAUCACAGUACCGCUCACUUCUAAGGCAGUAUUUGUUUCAGGCUUUGCGACCAAUCAGCAGUUUUCACACCCAGUCCUGGAUUCGGUCUCUGCUAUUUUACACCCAGGCAAGGGCACUGAGGACAGCACUUGCAAGCCUCUCUUAGGUAAAUUCACCUGGAGAAGAAAACAGCUUUUAUUUGUAAAACAUUUGGCUUUCCAACAAGCCUUGUCUAUCAUGGCAUCCUGAUGAUGCAUACAAACAAGAGCUCACUGGACUGGCUUAAUCUUCCAGUGCCUGCUGCUUUCUCCUGAGUAGGUUUUCUGGGCCGUGGAAUCCUUCAGGCUCGUGUGUCCUCCACUGGCAUUUGCUCCUGAGCGAGCACACGCUUAAUGUGAAGCCCAUGGCUACACCCCAGGGCAUCCAAGUGCCCUCUGAAAUGUUCUGUGUUGGAGGAGAGUUUCCUUAGCUUCCACCAGAUUCUCAAGAGGCUUUUUAGCCCCAAGACCAUUAAGAAAGAGUGUUAUCCUGUUUUGGACCUUCUUGUUCGUGCUCUUUCUGGAAACAAAAUGGUGCGAGAGCCUUUCCUACUUAGCCCUGGGGAAGUUCUG